rnacentral:tRNA from 1 species
GCAUUGGUAGUUCAUUGGUAGAAUUCUCACCUUCCAUGCAGGUAUACCUGGGUUCAAAUCCAGCCAAUCCA